GUAGUUCGAUCCGUGCUCGAGGACGACGCUGGCGGCGUGCUUAACACAUGCAAGUCGAACGAUGAACCGCUUUCGGGCGGGGAUUAGUGGCGAACGGGUGAGUAACACGUGGGCAAUCUGCCCUGCACUCUGGGACAAGCCCUGGAAACGGGGUCUAAUACCGGAUACUCACUGCCUUGGGCAUCCAGGGUGGUGGAAAGCUCCGGCGGUGCAGGAUGAGCCCGCGGCCUAUCAGCUAGUUGGUGAGGUAAUGGCUCACCAAGGCGACGACGGGUAGCCGGCCUGAGAGGGCGACCGGCCACACUGGGACUGAGACACGGCCCAGACUCCUACGGGGGGCAGCAGUGGGGAAUAUUGCACAAUGGGCGAAAGCCUGAUGCAGCGACGCCGCGUGAGGGAUGACGGCCUUCGGGUUGUAAACCUCUUUCAGCAGGGAAGAAGCGAGAGUGACGGUACCUGCAGAAGAAGCGCCGGCUAACUACGUG
rnacentral:rRNA from 1 species